CAAUUUCUGGAUUUUACCAUCUAUGACAAGGCUGUCCAACCUGCGGCCCCCCAGAUGUUGCUGAAAUACAACUCCCAUGAUUCCCUGCCUGUUUAAUUGAAAGAAUCAUGGGAGUUGUAGUUCAGCAACAUCUGGGGGGCCGCAGGUUGGACAGCCCUGAUCUAUAAGAAAGUAAACAAUUUG